AGAAAAAGGAGACCUUUAGAAAUCAACCAUUGUUAUAAUUUGAAUCCUGGAGCACUUUGCUAAGCACAUAGCAGAUUGAUCCCAGGAGCAGACAAUCUUUUGUUUAAACGUUAUUUCAAAUUCUAAAGGUCUCCUUUUUCUAAUAUACAGGGUGUCUCAAAAAAAACCAAAAUCAUUGAAAUAACGUAUUGUUCGAAUUUCAAUGCCGUAACACAAAGGAUUUUGACAGGGUGAUUAAUUUGUUUUAAAAAAUUAAAAUAUCUUUGUAAAGUGAACGUUUGUUUGCUCAUGGGAAUUUAAAAAUGCUUCGUAAAUUGUAAUAUGCGUAAUAUGCAUUCGUGGUUUUAGUACUUUAUGCCUGACAUAACAAGUUUACGCUGAGUAUUACCAUUCAUUAUAGCAGUUAUGUCAAUCUUUUAUGCACUCGUGGGAUUAACUUAGUGCUAGGGCAUUGAAUAUCGAACAAUACGCCAAUUUCAAUGAUUUUGGUUUUUUUUGAGACACCCUGUACAGGGUGUAUAAAAAAAAACGCAACCUCGGAAUUUC